GACGAACGCUGGCGGCGUGCCUAAUACAUGCAAGUAGAACGCCGUUGCGAACGGGUGAGUAACGCGUAGGUAACUGCCUCAUAGCGGGGGAUUACUAUUUGAAACGAUAGCUAAUACCGCAUACUGUGAGAUGGACCUGCUUUGUAUUAGCUAGGUGGUGAGGUAAAGGCUCACCAAGGCGACGAUCAAUAGCCGGCCUGAGAGGGAGGACGGCCAAAAUGGGACCGGGGAACGGGACAAGCUUCCACGGGAGGCAGCAGGAGGGAAUCUUCGCAAAUGGACGGAAGGCCGACCGAGCAAAGGCGCGUGAGUGAAGAAGGGUUUCGGAUUGUAAAGCUAUGUUGUGAGAGAAGCGGUAACCAAACAAAAAGGGACGGCUAACUACGUGCCAGCAGCCGCGGUAAUAC
rnacentral:rRNA from 1 species